CUCAGGAAACUUCACCGUAGCAAUACCUUUUCGGCCUCGAUCCGGUGCCUUUCGGUCACUUUCCGACCGGAAUUCUUGUAUUUUUAGACUCCUCACAACUCGAGCUUCGCGUAGGCCCUUCCAGAUUCGAAUUCCGACGCUGUUGGCAAGACCGGCUUUCAGACCCCAGUGCUUUUCGGCCGUGCGAAAUAUUACAAUUUCGACUCGGUAUAAUUUUAUUUAGACCUUAAAAAUUAUGUUGUAAUUUUAGAAAAAUAUUGUGGCUAUUAAUUAUUAGUGAUGGAUAAACUAAAAAUUAUUUGAAUUUAAUUAUUUGUGUUUGUGAUGUGUUGCAGAGUCAGAAAAAUUAAUGCAGUUUUGGUUGCCCGACUCCCGUUAAUUAAUCGCAGUAUAUUUGAAGUACUUUUUGGCAGGUUUUGGACCCGUUUUAUAGGAAAUAAACGUCUGUAAUUUAGGAGAGGUUCCGCCGAAUUUUCAAACAAAAUUUUCGAGUUUAAAGUAAUUUCAAGCAGUCUAAUCUAGGGGUCUAGGCCUAGGGAAAAAUUUAAGAUUUUCUAUUAACUAAGUGUUUUCGUGAAUAGAUAAUCCAUCCUCCUCAUCGCCUGCGCCUCCCAGCUGGUCGCCGCCGUUCAGCAGCCCUCCUCCUCCUUCUCCCUCCUUUCCACCGACGCCGACAAAGGAAGAAGGGGUUGCCAUCGUCGGUUUGGCCUCCUGCCGGCGUCCUUUCGGUAAACCGACACCGAAAUCGGACUCCCCACCCCAAAAGCGACUCUCUUUGCCGUGAAAUCCCCCGUUGGCAGCCUCGAGAAGCUUCACCAUAGUAAUACUUUUUCGGCCUCGAUCCGGUGCCUUUCGGUCACUUUCCGACCGGAAUUCUUAUAUUUUUAGACUCCUCACAACUCGAGCUUCGCGUAGGCCCUUCCGGAUUCGAAUUCCGAUGCUGUUGGCAAGACCGGCUUUCAGACCCCGGUGCUUUUCGGCCGUGCGAAAUAUUACAAUUUCGACUCGGUAUAAUUUUAUUUAGACCUUAAAAAUUAUGUUGUAAUUUUAGAAAAAUAUUGUGGCUAUUAAUUAUUAGUGAUGGAUAAAUUAAAAAUUAUUUGGCUUUAAUUAUUUGUGUUUGUGAUGUGUUGCAGAGUCAGAAAAAUUAAUGCAGUUUUAGUUGCCCGACUCCCGUUAAUUAAUCGCAGUAUAUUUGAAGUACUUUUUGGCAGGUUUUGUACCCGUUUUAUAGGAGAUAAACGUCCGUAAUUUAGGAGAGGUUCCGCCGAAUUUUCGAACAAAAUUUUCGAGUUUAAAGUAAUUUCAAGCAGUCUAAUCUAGGGGUCUAGGCCUAGGGAAAAAUUUAAGAUUUUCUAUUAACUAAGUGUUUUCGUGAAUAGAUAAUCCAUCCUCCUCAUCGCCUGCGCCUCCCAACUGGUCGUCGCCGUUCAGCAGCCCUCCUCCUCCUUCUCCCUCCUUUCCACCGACGCCGACAAAGGAAGAAGGGGCUACCAUCAUCGGUUUGGCCUCCUGCCAGCGUCCUUUCGGUAAACCGACACCGAAAUCAGACUCCCCACCCCAGAAGCGACCCUCUUUGCCGUGAAAUCCCCCGUUGGCAGCCUCGAGAAGCUUCACCGUAGCAAUACCUUUUCGGCCUCGAUCCGGUGCCUUUCGGUCACUUUCCGACCGAAAUUCUUGUAUUUUGAGACUCCUCAUAACUCGAGCUUCGCGUAGGCCCUUCCGGAUUCGAAUUCCGACGCUGUUGGCAAGACCGGCUUUCAGACCCCGGUGCUUUUCGGCCCUGUGAAAUAUUACAAUUUCGACUCGGUAUAAUUUUAUUUAGACCUUAUAAAUUAUGUUGUAAUUUUAGAAAAAUAUUGUGGCUAUUAAUUAUUAGUGAUGGAUAAAUUAAAAAUUAUUUGGAUUUAAUUAUUUGUGUUUGUGAUGUGUUGCAGAGUCAGAAAAAUUAAUGCAGUUUUGGUUGCCCGGCUCCCGUUAAUUAAUCGCAGUAUAUUUGAAGUACUUUUUGGCAGGUUUUGGACCCGUUUUAUAGGAGAUAAACGUCCGUAAUUUAGGAGAGGUUUCGCCGAAUUUUCGAACAAAAUUUUCGAGUUUAAAAUAAUUUCAGGCAGUCUAAUCUAGGGGUCUAGGCCUAGGGAAAAAUUUAAGAUUUUCUAUUAACUAAGUGUUUUCGUGAAUAGAUAAUCCAUCCUUCUCAUCGCCUGCGCCUCCCAGCUGGUCGCCGCCGUUCAGCAGCCCUCCUCCUCCUUCUCCCUCCUUUCCACCAACGCCGACAAAGGAAGAAGGGGCUGCCAUCGUCGGUUUGGCCUCCUGCCGGCGUCCUUUCGGUAAACCGACACCGAAAUCGGACUCCCCACCCAGAAGCGACCCUCUUUGCCGUGAAAUCCCCCGUUGGCAGCCUCGGGAAGCUUCACCGUAGCAAUACCUUUUCGGCCUCGAUCCAGGUGCCUUUCGGUCACUUUCCGACCAGAAUUCUUGUAUUUUUAGACUCCUCACAACUCGAGCUUCGCGUAGGCCCUUCGGAAUUCGAAUUCUGACGUUGUUGGCAAGACCGACUUUCAGACCCCGAUGCUUUUCGGCCAUGCGAAAUAUUACAAUUUCGACUCGGUAUAAUUUUAUUUAGACCUUAUAAAUUAUGUUGUAAUUUUAGAAAAUAUUGUGGCUAUUAAUUAUCAGUGAUGGAUAAAUUAAAAAUUAUUUGGAUUUAAUUAUUUGUGUUUGUGAUGUGUUGCAGAGUCGAAAAAAUUAAUGCAGUUUUGGUUGCCCGACUCCCAUUAAUUAAUCGCAGUAUAUUUGAAGUACUUUUUGGCAGGUUUUGGACCCGUUUUAUAGGAGAUAAACGUCCGUAAUUUAGGAGAGGUUCCACCGAAUUUUCGAACAAAAUUUUCGAGUCUAAAGUAAUUUCAGGCAGUCUAAUCUAGGGGUCUAGGCCUAGGGAAAAAUUUAAGAUUUUCUAUUAACUAAGUGUUUUCGUGAAUAGAUAAUCCAUCCUUCCUGCCAGCUCCAUCCAAGGUGUAGGAGCGGACUGAGGAGCGCGACAGAACUGUGAGUUAAAGUUAUAUAAUCACUGCACUAUUGGCAUGUCUGAAUUUAAUGUGAUGUUUUAGUGAUUUAUGUUUAAUAUGAUUUUCAGUAUCGCAUUAUGAAUAAUUUCGUUUAAUUAGUAAUUACCACAAAUAAUAUUAAUAUUAUUAUCUGAAAAAUUAUCUCGUUAUUUUGAAAUCACAAUUAAUGUUAUUUUAAUACUAUUAUUAAUUCUAUACAUAAAUUGCAUGCUCGCUUUAUCCGAGAUUCUAAAUCCUUAAUUUCAGUAUGUUGUUGAAUAAUGAUGUUAGUUUAUAAUUAUUAUAUUUAUGUUAUGAUUGUGACAAUGGGAUAAGGCUAUAGUAGAACAUGCCAUCUGAUGGGUUGCAUCAGGACCGCGUGCGUGUCGGUAAUAAUCAGAUAUAGGUAAUAAGGUAAUGUUUGGAUUUUGCCAUGGUCGAGUAUAACUCUCUGCACUAUGAAAGUUUGACUGCGGGAAAAAGGACCCUGGUCGAGCAUUGCUUUCUGAGCACUGGCUUAGUUGGGAAUGAAGUGUCUAGGCUGGAUGUAAGGACCCUAGUUGAGCUUCGCUCUCUGGGUGCCAGACCUAUUGGAAUAAGAGAGCCAAAAGGCUACUAGCGUUUUAGGUUAGGGUUCUACUGAGCCACUCGUCC
rnacentral:lncRNA from 1 species